rnacentral:lncRNA from 1 species
CUAGCCACACUGACCGAGAAUGCAAGAUCCGGUCGUGUAUGAAGUAAAUAGCGUAAACAUCCCACGUUUCUUCUAUACGUUAUUGCUUCAAUCUCUUCUUUUUCUUCAGCUUUCGAAACCUCUUGCGUAUGCUUCUUGUUUAAGCUCGAUCCCGUCAUUACAUUGAUGAAGUCUAUCCCAAGAUAAUAUGUGAGUUUCCCUAAGUCAGAUAUCUCAAACUUUGAUGACAUCCCUCUCU